GGGGAUCCUUGGGAAUGAGGAGGAAUUUAAGCCGAUCUUCGGCAUCGGCGAUGCGGAGUUCCAGUUCACGGAGCUCCUC
rnacentral:tRNA from 1 species